rnacentral:rRNA from 1 species
AUCUUCGGCAAUGGACGAAAGUCUGACCGAGCAACGCCGCGUGUGCGAUGAAGGCCUUCGGGUUGUAAAGCACUGUCGAGGGGAAACAAGCCGUAAGGUUGAGUGACCCCUGGAGGAAGCACGGGCUAAGUUCGUGCCAGCAGCCGCGGUAAGACGAACCGUGCAAACGUUAUUCGGAAUCACUGGGCUUAAAGGGCGCGUAGGCGGGUGAUCAAGUCAAUGGUGAAAUCCUCCAGCUUAACUGGAGAAGUGCCUUUGAUACUGAUUGUCUAGAGGGAGGUAGGGGCAUGUGGAACUUCAGGUGGAGCGGUGAAAUGCGUAGAUAUCUGAAGGAACGCCAGUGGCGAAAGCGAUGUGCUGGACCUCUUCUGGCGCUGAGGCGCGAAAGCUAGGGGAUCAAACGGGAUUAGAUACCCCGGUAGUCCUAGCCCUAAACUAUGGGUACUAGAUUGUGGACUUUCAUGGGUUCACAGUCGAAGCAAAAGUGUUAAGUACCCCGCCUGGGGAGUAUGGUCGCAAGGCUGAAACUCAAAGGAA